ACUUGCACCGGUGGACUGGUCAGGCUUUCUCUUGAGCUAACGCUAUCUUUCCCAAGUGAGCCAACUCUCAAUUCAAAAUGGCGACGUCAAUACAACGGAAGUCGAAGCAGGGAGUGGCUCCAUCACCUCCAGUACCACAGUGCGAGUCCCUGUCAUCACCAAUCUUGUGACCGUCCUGUAGUCCAGAUGCAACAGUAUGCUGAGCUCAGGACACAUGGUGCUGUGGGGGAGAAGUUCACCACAAGUGUAGAACAUGUGUUGGACCCAGGUGGCGUUGUGACCAGGAUCUGACUCACUGCCGGACGCUCCAGACUUGCGGUUUCACUGUUCGACAGCGUGAGACAUCCCACUCACUGAAAACUCCAUUGAAAUCUUAACAAAAACAACAAAAUCACUCCUAAUAGGCCUCUUCUUGGACAACCGAGCUACAGGACUACAGCUGUUUCUCAUGGGCUGUUGCCAUAAAUCUCCAGUGAGUGGCUGGUUUGAGGGUGGGUGCUAAGGAGCAGCUGUACACGUCUAAAAAUAGUUCCAAGGCUGCGGCUGGACAGCACAUUAAAGCUCAACAUGCAGUUUAGCACAAAGAGCCUAUCCUAUCAACAAUACCUGCAGUAACACAACUGUACCCUGGCAUCAGCAUUGCUGUGCAGGAAGUGACUGACUGUUGUGCAAACUGAACAUCCGCGCAUGUCACUGCGUCUGACUCACACCUCCAAACAACUGCCAAAUCCUGACCACAUAAUUCAGACGUACUUUAUUUUUCCAGUGAGCUGAAUGUUCGUUAUCAGUGUGUCGUGGCCCGAGGCAGAACGCUCCCUCCUCGCUGUGGUGACAACCACCGGCCGUCCUGAUGGAAAACAAAGCCAAGAUGGCACAGCAAACAUGAAAUCACUCUGACAGGCAGAGCUGAACAAAGUAGGACUCAGCACACUAAGCACAUUUUAUCACUGUUUUCUAUUAGUCAGGUUCCCCCCAUGAAUUAAAGAACAAACUGAAAUUCCUA